GACAUGUCGAGACAUGUCUAUCAUAAUAAAUUAAAAAUUAAAGAUAAUAACGAUCAGGCGUCAGCAUAUAAGGAACCUAUCUCUUAGUACCACUGAUAGAUUAAAGAAGAACAAGUUGGACGGCAACAAAACAAGACACGGAAACAGCUAUAAAGUUUAGUCAUUCAAUCGAUACAUGGAAAACAUUGAAACGCACGUACAUGGUCUUGUCGACAAUGUGGGCAAUCUCAGGAAAGAAGUUUCUAAUGUCAAAUUUAAAACCGAAUUGAAUAACUUGGUUUUACCUGAAAUACCGAAAAUGAAUGGAUUGUUAGACGAGCAAUCGUCAAAGAUUGCAGAAUUGCUUAAAGAAAUCGUUCAAGGAGAGAACAAUUUGAGAACCGAGAAUAACCACCUCAGUGCAAGAAUUGACGUUUUGACUGCAAGCAAUGACCAUUUGAGGGCAGAGAAUAACGAAUUUAGGCAAAUGUUAGCAGGUAUGCAAAGGCAAAUUAACGAAUUGAGGGCAGUCAAUGAACAACUCAGGGCAAGAAUUGACCAAGUGAUUGCAAGCAAUGACCAUUUGAAGGCAGACAAUGACAAACUCAGGGCGAGAAAAUAACGCAUUUAAAUAAAUGUUUGCAGAUAUGCAAAGGCAAUUAACGAAAUGAGCCAGAACAAUUCAACUUGAUUCAAUAAUAUUUUGGGCUUUCAUGCACGAACAUUAUAUUCACACUUUUUAAAGCAGAUUUUAGACAGCAAACCUAUGUUACUUAACGUCUGAAAAGCACUUGAUAUCAGUCUACAGCAUCAUUUACGAUGUAAUGUUUUUAAAAACAUGGCUAGUCACGCUGGUAAUUGUAAUUUUACUCGUAGAUAUAAACAUUGCUUCGUUUAAUAACUUCAUUUACACUUGUAAUAAUUUGUAUACAAAUAAAUUAAGGAAUAGCUAUA